GCUCGGGUGGCGGAAUCGGUAGACGCGCAGGAUUCAGGAUCCUGUGGGGGCAACCCCGUGAGGGUUCGAAUCCCUCCUCGAGCA
rnacentral:tRNA from 1 species